ACAAGAGAGGAAUAUAUGUGCACACGCAGCACAAGAACAUCAUUUAGUCCAGACACAUACAUGAUAAGCCAGCCGGAAACAUCGCCAGCGCUCUGGCUACAAUUAUAUUAAAUUGACUUCAUCAGCAUCUAUUGCAAAGCACAGAGCACACAGGAAACGAAAGGCUAAAAAUUUAUAAUGGAGAAUUUCACCCAGCUGAUUGUUGAGUGUGAAAUCCAACUGCUGGUGCUCCUCAGCUUCACAUUACAGCUAUUUCUCUUCCUUACUGGCAAUCUUCGGCAGUAUAGCUGUUCGACGAUAUUAAAAAACAUAAAAAAAACAGUGCAUGUCACGUGCUUGAAAUAAUCAUCAUGGAGCUUGACUGAUAUCCACGGUCAAGCCCAAAAUGGCCAAUUAGCACCUGCGUGCUUGGGCUAAUUAAUUGACAGGUUAUCCUUUGUUUAUUUAUUUGCUAAAGCCUAUCGAGCAUGCACCAACAUAUGCAUGGGCCUGUUUUCUUUCUAUUAAUUAACUACUACUGUACCUCGUUUAUGUUAGUUCUGUUGGCUUAGCAAGCAGUAGUACGUGCGGCUGAUCUGAUGAAGCCCCACGCGACGGACGAAGCUACGCCUGGCCGGAUGGAUUGAUCGUUAUCUGCCAAUAAUAUUAUUUUGCUUUGCUAAUGCAAUGUUUAUCCAGCCGACGGAGAUAAGGAAGUUCAGCUGCAGCAGUCCCGUGCGAUAUGGAAGCCUCAGAUAAACACUAGCCAGUCCAGCCUAACCAGACAACGCGAGAAGGAAGGAACGGCGCCGUGAGAUCAGGCCGUCGCCAACUCCUUUCCAAGGCAUUCCCCCGACCCAGCCUUCUGCCUAUAUAAGGAGCAUAACUCCAUCACGCAGGGGGCAGCGCAGAUCGAUCAGGAGGAACCCAAGGCGGCAGCACACGGCCGGUGCGUCCAAGCUCAGGAAGAGGAGGAAAAAAAGAAGAGAAGACGCGCCGACGCGGCACAUCACCUGGGCGCCCAAUACCCAGGACGGGGAGGGCCUGCGCGGGUCGAAGGAGCGCGGCCGGCGGCGCCCUAUGCGAAGAACCAUCAUGCAGGGCAGCAGGCUGAGCGCGCCCAUGGCCGGCGGCGGCAAAGCCGGACAAGAAGAGAAGCUGAGGAGCACGGCCACGCCCUCGACGGAGCCAUAGGAAGAACGCGCCCGUGGUUGCUGCAUCUCCCAGGACACAAUAUACAUACUUCAAUCUAUCUCUCGUGUCUCCAUGUUAUCAUCGACCAAGAGAGAAGCUGUACAUGGGGCGCGCCCAGCUCGGCGGUGCCGUGACUCGCAUGGCGCCGGCCGUGAAGCAGAUUAAACUUCCAAGGCGGCGGCGGCGACGACAAGCCACCGGUGUCGACAGCAACGACUCGCAUGGUGCGCUCACAUCCAGGGCGACGAGGAGCUGCAAGCGAAGGAGUGCGGCGCUGCGGUGGCGUCCUAUGCGAGGAGCCAACACGCCGUGCAGCGGCCGGGUUGGGCGCGCCCAAGGUGGCGGGGGGGAGAAGACUGAGUUCGAUGCCCGCCAUCAACCACAAGCUAGCACCCAUGACGUUCUUCUCCAAUGUUAAGUGAGGAGGACCACGGGUGAAUCUCUCUCCCUCUUCCUUUCUCUCUUUCUCUUCAGCAGAUUUUGCCGGCCAUGGCGAUCCGGCCGAUCAUGCCAGUCAUGUGUGCGUUCUUCGGUGCAAACAUGCACAUCAACACAAACACAUACGGCGCCGCGAGAGGACACCUGUGCAUAUGCGCAGCACUACACCAACAUGCAUGCCCCUUCGAAGCUCCGACAUGAGCUCGACGUGCGCCGUCCAACGGCUCGCCCCUCGUCACGUCCGCCGAGCCGCCACCUCUACAUCAAAUACGACAUCAUCACCAGGCAAGCUGUCGUGCAGGAGUCAGGAGCCUGCAUCGCCUCUCGUCAAGGCUAACAUCGUCAACACCUCGAUGCUUCUCAUCGACCUAGUUGAAGCGGAUGCGCCAUGGGCCGCUAACAAGCCGAUGUGUCGCCAUCAUCUCACAUGAUGCGCACGCGCUUAGUACAUCAGCCAUGCAUGUCAUUGAUCAGAACAUGGCACUCCAAAAUAAUCAAGGUAUUUAAAGAUUAUCUGUUUUUAUUAUAUAGCACGCAACACGCCACAUCAGACAGGCACGAUCGCCAAGAUCCACACGCGACUACAUCAUCACUCGACAACAUCCGAAGACCUGGUACACGUUCCAUCAAGCCCGGCGCCAAGGCCCUCUUGCCGUCUACAUCAACACUAUGCCGUGUCGUCACCCAUGGAGUCGCUACAGCCCAAGACGACGCCAACGACGACUACAUCAACUUCUCACUCGACGAGGACGCCAUCUAAACCAACAUGCGGCUGGGUCUUCAUCGGCUCCUCGCCCAACAACGACAUCGACUACAUCGGCACGUCGCUACAUGUCUACACCGGCAAUCUACUUCAAGUCAAAGUACACGACUCCAAACAUGAUCGAGUCUCGACAAGCUCGUGUGCGCCACCGACUCUACAAGGUUUACAUCGACAAGCUCACUGCACCGUCGUCAUCAAUCAACGUCACCAUGCGGCGACUUUCACGUCUACUGCAACAUCUACAUCGCCACACUCAUCCUCGACAUCGGCCAAGCACCGACGAUGCGAAGCUACUCCAGCGACAUGUCUUCUUCCGAUGAAGCAGAAUACACCACAUCGCCGGGCACCGACGAGGCGAAGGCAAUGCAUCACGUCCGACACCGACAAGGCGGACACCACCAGGCCUGGCACCGACGAGGCGAAGGCUGCCCAUCUGUCUGAGCUGACGAGGCCAGACAUCUUCAUCCUCGAACGUCGACAAGCCGAAGGGAUAUGGCUUAGCAUCGCCAGGGCGACGCGCGUACCGCUCCAUCCUUCCACUUCAUCAUCAUCCACUGUCUCGUCUGCACCGCGCAUGGAGAAGACGAGACUUGAAGACGACGACCAUUGCAGCAGCUUAAUCGGAGGUGGUCCGUGGACUCGAUCCACGGACGUAAUUAAUCGGGAGCCUUCCGAGGCCCCGCGAACCAAGAACACACAAUCGCCCAAGUCAUUCUGGCCGCGCUAGCAGGCCAUGGAGCGCUCAUGUAAAGGGAUCUUGUAAUUUUGUUUCUCCGAGUCGAGAUUAAUAAAAUACACGCUUCCUUAUUUA